UACGUAGGUGGCAAGCGUUGUCCGGAAUUACUGGGUGUAAAGGGCGUGUAGGCGGGGAUGCAAGUCAGAUGUGAAAUUCCGGGGCUCAACCCCGGCGCUGCAUCUGAAACUGUAUCUCUUGAGUGCUGGAGAGGAAAGCGGAAUUCCUAGUGUAGCGGUGAAAUGCGUAGAUAUUAGGAGGAACACCAGUGGCGAAGGCGGCUUUCUGGACAGUAACUGACGCUGAGGCGCGAAAGCGUGGGGAGCGAACAGG
rnacentral:rRNA from 1 species